rnacentral:rRNA from 1 species
AAUCAACGCUGGCGGCGUGCCUAACACAUGCAAGUCGAACGAGAAAGUGGAGCAAUCCAUGAGUAAAGUGGCGACCGGGUGAGUAACACGUGACUAACCUACCUCCGAGUGGGGAAUAACUCCGGGAAACCGGGGCUAAUACCGCAUAACAUCGCGAGAUCAAAGCAGCAAUGCGCUUGGAGAGGGGGGUCGCGGCUGAU